GGAAGCGUGGCCGAGUGGUUGAAGGCGCACGACUCGAAAUCGUGUAUGGGUAAUACCAUCGGGGGUUCGAAUCCCUUCGCUUCCGCCA
rnacentral:tRNA from 1 species